GGGCGGUUAGCUCAGCUGGUAGAGCGCCUCAUUGACGUUGAGGAGGUUUCACAGGUUCGAUCCCUGUACCGCCCA
rfam:Candidatus Daviesbacteria bacterium RIFCSPHIGHO2_01_FTLL_41_23 rifcsphigho2_01_scaffold_128, whole genome shotgun sequence.